CGGCGUGCUUAAUACAUGCAAGUCAACUGAAGCACCGGUAGUAAUACUGGUGUGGAGGUGGCGCACGGGUGAGUAACACGUAGGUAAUCUGCCUUCAGGUCUGACAUAACCCCGAGAAAUCGGGGCUAAUAGCAGAUGAUGCAGCGGCUUGACAUCAAGACAGUUGUUAAAGCUUCGGCGCCUGAAGAUGAGCCUGCGUCUGAUUAGCUAGUUGGCGGAGUAAUGGCCCACCAAGGCUACGAUCAGUAACUGGUCUGAGAGGAUGAUCAGUCACACUGGAACUGAGACACGGUCCAGACUCCUACGGGAGGCAGCAGUAAGGAAUAUUGCUCAAUGGGAGAAAUCCUGAAGCAGCAACGCCGCGUGAGGGAUGAAGGGCUUUUGCUCGUAAACCUCUGUAGUGAGGGAAAAAUUUCCACUCUGUGGAAUAUGAUGGUACCUCAAAAGUAAGCCCCGGCUAACUACGUG
rnacentral:rRNA from 1 species